rnacentral:rRNA from 1 species
GCAAAAAGAAUUUUAGUUUGACACCCCGAAACCGAGCGAGCUACUCCAGGCCAGCCUAUAUAAAUAGGGCGAACCCAUCUCUGUGGCAAAAGAGUGGGAAGAGCCUCGAGUAGAGGUGAAAGACCUACCGAGCCCGGCUAUAGCUGGUUGCCUGAGAACUGAAUAGAAGUUCAGCCUCCCGGAUUCUUCCCAACCCGAGAGAGUUAGUCAAAAGGGGGAUAGCCCUUUUGACACAAGAUACAACUUUACUAGGAGGGAACUGAUCAUAAUUUAUUAAGGGAUAAUAAUCCAAGUGGGCCUAAAAGCAGCCAUCUUAAUAGAAAGCGUCUAAGCUCAAACACUCAAAUUCAGACAAUAACUCACAGCCCCCUAAAAAUAUCAGGCCCUCUCGUGCCCACACAAGAGAGACCAUGCUACUACGAGUAAUAAGAGAACCUUCUCUCCUAGCACAUGUGUAAAUCGGACUGGACCCCCCACCGAAACUUAACGGUCCCAAAUAAAGAGGGUAGUAAAAAAAGACUAGAAAACCACUUACCGUUAACCCCACACUGGCGUGCCCCCAAGGAAAGACUAAAAGAAAAAGAAGGAACUCGGCAAACAAGCCUCGCCUGUUUACCAAAAACAUCGCCUCUUGCAAGAAUAAGAGGUCCCGCCUGCCCACUGAUCCCAGAUUCAACGGCCGCGGUAUUUUGACCGUGCUAAGGUAGCGUAAUCACUUGUCUUUUAAAUGAAGACCCGUAUGAAAGGCUUAACGAGGGCUUAACUGUCUCCUUUUUCCAGUCAAUGAAACUGAUCUCCCCGUGCAGACGCGGGGAUUAAAACAUAAGACGAGAAGACCCUAUGGAGCUUUAGACACCAAGGCAGCCUAUUUUAAAUAACCCUAAACAAGCAACAAAUCUAUUAGUAAACCUGCCUCAGUCUUAGGUUGGGGCGACCCUGGGGAAACACAAAACCCCCAUGUGGAGAGGGGGGACCCCUAAAAACUCGAAACACAAUUCUAAUCAACAGAACCUCUGACCAAAUUGAUCCGGCCCAAGCCGAUUAACGAAACAAGUUACCCUAGGGAUAACAGCGCUAUCCCCUUUUAAAGUCCAUAUAGACAAGGGGGCUUACGACCUCGAUGUUGGAUCAGGACAUCCUAAUGGUGCAG